CAUCAGAGUUAUGAGAAGAGGGGACAAUAUCUUCCAGCUUCUUUCCACUGAAGAUAUCAAUUCCAACAAAGUGGCACUUAGCAUGACCGUGCUUUCCAGUCUUGGAGGUGGAGACUUCCACAACCUGUUAAAUUAAAUGUUGAGCAAUGUUACGAAAAUUUAAAUCUACGUAAACGUCUCAAUUAACAAAACAAGCAUCAUCACUUGAAGCAAUAACUAAAACUAAACUAAAACCAUUUACCACAUCCUAUCACCAAUAUUAAGUAAAAUAGACUACACUUGGUAUAUAUCUAAAAGCUAAAGGCCAGUCCUUAAAGUUUACUAAACUCUUAACAAUAUUUAUUCUUACAAGUGAUUAAAAUUGAGAUUAUUCACAUUGACCUCCAAUCAAAAGGACUAAAAUGUCUUCAAAACAAACGAGCAAAUUACACAACAAUUUGCACUAAACAAAGUAGCAUAAUUCAAAGACAUACGGAUUUUAUAGCAAAAAAGAAAAAAAAAAUUAACAUAUUUUCAGGAAAAUCUAGCUACGAAUAAACGAUUACGCAUCAGGAUUAUCAUACCUAAUUUUAUCUAUAAUUGGAAGCAAAGAAAUAAUUUUUUUCUCGAGAAAAUAUAGGAUUCGGAGAAAACAAAAAGAGAUAAAAGCCAAUUAAAAUAAAAAAAGUAAUAGAAAAGAAACCUUGCAGGGACGGCCUUUGAUGACGAUGUAGCCAUUCUUACGGAUGGUACCAGCUUGCUGCGGGUAAGUCUUGGAGGCUCCGGCAUCGGCCUUUGACUCGAAGUGAUGCUCCUCGUCCGACAUCGUUUUAAGCACUGACUGAUUCCGACUCGGCCGAUUUACUGAGCGAGAUUUUGAGAGAGGCUGGGGGGCGACCGAGCGAGGGAGAGACGGAGGAGGCAAUUAUAAAUGCGGGCUUUUAUAUGUAUAGUGUUUGUGUUUCUGUCGUUUUUCGUUUCUAG
rnacentral:lncRNA from 1 species